AUGCCUUCCUGGAACGACGAGGAAACGAGCUCGGAGGAGGACUGCCAGGUCGUCAGCAUGGACAUGGGACUUAUGGAGGAACCAGACACCACUGUGGAGCCCCUUUUUUGUGGCCAACUUGAGCUUGCUCAUCCCAAGUGCAUUCUGCAUCAAAUGAGGCCUAUUAAGCGUGUUGCUUUUGAAGGGCAUUUAACAGGAAGGCGUUUCUAUGGCUGCCCAGUCCAGGAAAAUGGUGUGAAUUGUGGUGUUGUAGAGUGGGUUGAUGGGCCUUGGCCAACUGUUCUUCAGAGAUGUUUGUGCAAGCUAUGGGAGAUGUUCCAUGAGCAGAACCUUGGAAGGAUACAUGACAAGGAGAAGUUUGAGAAGGAGUUGGCCAGGCUUAAGAGUGAACAUGAAAGGGAGUUGGCCAAGCUUAGGACUGAAAAUGACAAGCUUUGCAUUGAGUACACCAAGCUUGUUGAUGAUGUAUCCAAGAUGUUUGAUUGGCAGGAUGGUAGGGUGGACAAGCAGGUGUACCAGAAACAAGUGGAGGAGGGAGAACUUGAGAAGAAGAAGAAGGAGCUAGAGGAGAAAGCCAUGUUGGAGGUGCAGAUGGAAAAGCUUAAACUUGCAAAAGAGCAGAGGUGCAUUUUGCAGAGCCAAGCUGAUAUCAUCAAGAACACCAGGAAGGCUAUGAAGGAUGUUGAAGUUGACAGAGAUGUUCUUAAGAAGGAGAAGGAAAAGCUUGAGCUUGUUGUUGCUGAGCUGCUGAAAGAAGGGUAUGGCAACAAGGAGAAGUUAGAGCAAAUCAAGGCCAUCCUUGAGUCUUGA
rnacentral:rRNA from 1 species